rnacentral:lncRNA from 1 species
UGGUUUAAAUGAAUCAAGGUCUACCCUUUGAAAAACACUGGUUGGUAGAUUCGUUUUCUUGCUAUUACAGAUUACCCCAAAACUUCAUGGCUUAAAAUAAUAAACAUUUGCUUAUCUCAUACAGUUUCUGUGGGCCAGGAAUCUGGACUAGGAUAGCGUGGUGGUUCUGGGUUAGGGUCUUUCAUGAGGUUACAGUCAGAAUGUUGACUGGGCUGGAGGAUUUGCUUCCAAGGUGGCUGGAAGCAGGUUAAUCUCUGGCAGGUUAAUGCUGGCAUUGGCAGGUCUUAGUUCUCAGACUGCUUGAGUGUCCUCACAACAUGGUAGUUUGUCUCCCUCAGUACAAGCUAGAGCAAGGAGGAAGCCACACCACUGCCACAUGCUGUUAGUUGAAAGAAAGUCACUUAAGUCCAGCCUACAGUGGAAUUAAGUUCCAUAUCUUGAAGGGUGGAGUAUCAAAGAAUUUAUGACAUAUUUUAAUAACUACCACAGUUCUGUGUUUUUCCUGUUUAUGGGUGAAUUAGGAUUGAACCAGAAGCCUUGUUGAAGUCAAUCUGUAAGUAAUUAUCUUAGUUAAUUAAGUCAGUUUUUUUCUCUGAGGGCUUUUAGUCUCACGCCCUCAAUCUUAAAUUUGAGAAGGGAGGCUCAAAGAAGUUAAGUAAUUAGCCAGCGCAUGGCCAUUCAGUGUAGGAACAUUAAACAGAUUUUUCUGUCUUUUUUUUUUUUUUGUCAUGAAUGAUGUGUGUGCUGAUUAAGAUGAGAAAACUUGUUAGUGAUUUUUAAAUAUAUAAAGAAGUUAUAGUAUAGAACUGUUGUUUCCUAGUCUCGUGGUUUGCACACUUCUACAUGAUAGUAAUACUUUCAAUUUAUUCGGCCUACAGAUAAUACCUGAUGUCUGUGAAUUUGCAGACUCCUCAUAGCAGUACCGCCUUCCCGUUGAUUUUUAGAGGAAACAAAAUAUACUUAUGAAUUUAAAGGAUUUAAAUGAAUGAAUUUAUUUUUAAAAAAUAUUUUGCUUAUUUAUUCAUGAGAGACACAGAGAGAGAAAGAGGCAGAGGGAGAAAGAAGCAGGCUCCAUGCAGGGAGCCUGAUGUGGGACUUGAUCCCGGGACUCCAGGAUCAUGCCCUGGGCUGAAGGCGGCGUUAAACCGCUGAGCCACCUGGGCUGCUCUGAAGGACUUUACUUACUGUUAGCUCCAGAUGCUGCAUAUAUACCAACCUGGAGACUGUACUCUGUAACUAUUCCAGAUAGCACAUUUCUAGGACCUAAAAGAAGGUAUUAUAACAAAGAUAAUCAGGGUUUGAGUAUGAAAGAAAUGGAUACCACCCUCUGCUGUGAGACAGUCAUGGAAACUUUGGAUCUAGUAAGAUUUGUUCUAAGACCGGUUUUUUCUUUGUGGUAUAAAGGAGUAGGAUGGGACCCUGAUAUACAUGGAUAAUGUGAGUAGAGCCAGAAUAAAUUUUGAAGGCCUUCCUUAACUUUUUUCUUUUAAAUCCAGUAGACUUUCCUGAGUAAUAGGUUGGGGAUACAGUAAAUUUUCUUACACCUCUGCUGUUGCAGAAUUGACAAUAGCUGCUUUGUUCUUAAACUGCUUUCCAGUUUCUCUUACCAUCAGGACACCUGACAGUUGCUGUUCAGCCAUGAAGCACAUGCUUAUGUGCAUUAUACUUACGUGAUUGCUCUUGUUUACCUGUGUCUUGUAACUCCCAUCCCCACUGUAAAUUUUUUACAGGGACUUCUCUUUCCUAUAUAUUGCUGGUACUCAAAUGCUUGCAGAAUUGAAUUUGUAGUUGAAGGACCUAACAAGAUAAUUUUUCCCACUAGAACUGAAUGAGAAAAUGUUUAUUGUACAAAGCCUUUGGAUACAGGUGGGAGGUGCUGGUGAUAUAUAUGUUAAUAUCUGUCCUUAAGAUAUUCACAGUCCAGUGGCGGAAAACACAGUCAUAUGCUUUAUAUACAGUUCUUUAUAUACACAUAUUUGAAGUGUAGUGGUAGUAUAAAUGAAGUUGGUAUUUAAACUGAAUCUUGAAGGGUGAGUAGAUGUUUGAAAAAUAGACUUAGUUUUGUGACCUGUUUGGUUGUGCAUUUCCUUCUUUCCUUUCUUAAGAUUUUAUUUAUUUGAGAGAGCGAGAGCAAGCGCGGGGAGGAACAGAGGGUUAGGGACAAGCUGACUCCACGAUGAGCUCAGAGCCCGAGGAUCCUGAGAUCAUGACCUGAGCUGAAAUCGAGUUGGACGCUUAACUAAGCCACCCAUGUGCCCCAAGUGGUUGUGCAUUUCUCACCUUUACUCCUUUAUUAUACAUCUACCUUUGUUUUAUUGUUGAGUUGCCAUAUUUUGAUAAGUUGCUUUUUUCUCUCUCAUGCAUGUUCUUUUUAAGUUACUUCUCUAGAAGUGUGCUGUCCAAUGCAGUUUAGCUACUAGCCACACAUGCCUUUGCAAAUUAAUGUCACACUAGCCACAUGUGGAUAUAGGCUACCUAUUGGACAACACAGAUACAGAACAUUUCAAUUGUUGCAGAAAGUUCUCUUGGACUGUGCUGCUGUAGAAUCAUGUUUUGCUCAUCUGCAUAUUUUCACUUUAUUAUAAUGUAUUGAGUUAGGAAUAGAAUGAAUAAAUUUAAUAGCUUUCUGACAUCAAUGGAGGAGACAGAGUGGUUGGUAUUUAUGACUAGAGGGGAGAGAGUAUAGGAUAUUUACAUUGAUGAAGAAUAUAGGCUUUGCAGUCAAAUCUAGGUUGGAAUCCUGCUCUGUAACCUUAAGUAGUUUGGCUUUUGGGCAUGUUCACUUCUGAGCCUCAGUGUUUUGUUUUUGUUUUUGUUUUUACUCAAAUAGGGAUAAUAUUUACCUCUCAGGUUUGUGUGCCUAUAAAAUAAGAAUGUAUGUAAGGGGGCUUAGCACAGUACCUCAGUACAUGAUAAGGUCAUUAAGGUAUUUUUGAAGUAAUCACUGAUUAAAGAAAUUUUUAAAAUUAUACAGUGAAAUUUUUUUCUUUUGGUGUAUAGUUCUAUGAAGUAACAUAGAUAAAUAUUUGUGUAACUACCAUCAGUUAGAAUACAUAUCACUUCUACCACUUUCAAAAAACUCGCCCAUGCUGUCUUUUUGUAUACUUAACCUCCUCCCACUUGAUAUCCCCGACAGCCACUGAUUUGUUCUCCAUCAUCAUUUUUGUCUCUUUUAGCAUGUUUUAUAAAUGGAGUUGUGUAAUAUGUAGCCUUGGCUUCUUUCCUCAGCCAAAUUGGGUGAAGGACUCCAAAUUGUAACAUAAAUCUCAGUAGUCACAACUGAUUUUUAAGACAUUUAUUUUAAUUUAGAAAUCUUUCUUAGAAAUCUGCAUCUGAAUUUUUGUUCAUAGAAUUGUGUUUGACUUGGGAUUUUUAUGUUUGAAAGUGAAAUCAGUGACGAAAUUUACAGGGAAACACUACUUCCCCUGGUAACUGUGUCUGUGUAUGAUACCCACCUGUUUUUCUUUAUGAAAGUGAUUGAUCACUGGUGGGGAAGAUUCCCAUUUUUAUUAUUUAUUAAAAGAUUUUAUUUAUUUAUGAGAGACACAGCGAGAGAGAGAGGCAGAGAGAUAUAAGCAGAGGGAGAAGCAGGCUUCAUUCAGGGAGUCUGAAUGUGGGACUCGAUCCUGGGACUCCAGGAUCAUGCCCAGGGCUGAAGGCAGCGCUAAACCGCUGAGCCACCCAGGGAUCCCCUAGAUUCCUAUUUUUAGUAGUUUAUCCAUAUUAAAGAUCUGCGAGUGGCAGGAGAGUCCUCCUGUGAAAAAGUUUUUUGUCUAAACAUUAAUUUCUAAAAUGUGGUCUGAAGCUAGGAUAAUCAGCUGGCUGCUUUGCUCAGGCCUUCCCUAGCCUACCACUGGAAGUCUGGCUGCUGCAGGAAACCUCUCAGCGCCAGGAAAUCCAGGAUCUGAAAGAACCAUAUAAAAUUUGAGGAUUCCAGUUUAUCAGAUUUCAUUAGUGAACCACAGGACAAGUAUUCAAACUAAUCAUACUUGCCAUCAGAGUGCUUAGAGUCAAAAUCUCUAAGGUAACCAGAACCUAAACCACAUGAGACUUUUUAGAUUAAGAUCAAUACUCUGAUUUUAAAGACUAGUGUUUGGUGGCUUAGAUUUGACUGGAAUUACUUCAUUUUUUUGUUGGUUUGUUGCCCUCUGUAAGUUUUUGUGUGAUGAGUUCAAGAAGUAGUCAAGUUACAUAUUUCUAUAUUAGCAAUAUUAAAUUCUUGUAAGCAGGUUUUUAAGACUUGUGUAUUGAAGCUAGAUUAGGGGCAGCCCAGGUGGCUCAGUGGUUUAACGCCGCUUUCGGCACAGGGUGUGAUCCUGGAGACCCGAGAUCGAGUCCCCCAUUGGGCUCCCUUCAUGGAGCCUGCUUCUCCCUCUGCCUGUGUCUCUGCCUCUCUCUCUCUCUCUC